AUUGAACGCUGGCGGCAGGCUUAACACAUGCAAGUCGAGCGAGCGGCGGACGGGUGAGUAAUGUAUGGGAAACUGCCUGAUGGAGGGGGAUAACUACGGGAAACGGUAGCUAAUACCGCAUACCAACAGAUGAGCCCAAAUGGGAUUAGCUAGUAGGUGGGGUAAUGGCUCACCUAGCGGACGAUCCCUAGCUGGUCUGAGAGGAUGACCAGCCACACUGGGACUGAGACACGGUCCAGACUCCUACGUGAGGCAGCAGUGGGGAAUAUUGCACAAUGGGCGCAAGCCUGAUGCAGCCAUGCCGCGUGUGUGAAGAAGGCCUUCGGGUUGUAAAGCACUUUCAGCGGGGAGGCGUUACUCGCAGAAGAAGCACCGGCUAACUCCGUGCCAGCAGCCGCGGUAAUUC
rnacentral:rRNA from 1 species